rnacentral:rRNA from 1 species
AUUGAACGCUGGCGGCAUGCCUUACACAUGCAAGUCGAACGGUAACGGGCCUUCGGGUGCCGACGAGUGGCGAACGGGUGAGUAAUGUAUCGGAACGUACCUUUCAGUGGGGGAUAACGUAGCGAAAGUUACGCUAAUACCGCAUAUUCUGUGAGCAGGAAAGCAGGGGAUAGCAAGACCUUGCGCUGAUUGAGCGGCCGAUAUCAGAUUAGCUAGUUGGUGAGGUAAAGGCUCACCAAGGCGACGAUCUGUAGCGGGUCUGAGAGGAUGAUCCGCCACACUGGAACUGAGACACGGUCCAGACUCCUACGGGAGGCAGCAGUGGGGAAUUUUGGACAAUGGGGGCAACCCUGAUCCAGCCAUGCCGCGUGAGUGAAGAAGGCCUUCGGGUUGCAAAGCUCUUUCGGCCGGGAAGAAAUCGUAUGGGUUAAUACCCUGUGCGGAUGACGGUACCGGCAUAAGAAGCACCGGCUAACUACGUGCCAGCCGCCGCCGUAAGAC